AGUUGCGAUCAUACCAGCACUAAUGCACCGGAUCCCAUCAGAACUCCGCAGUUAAGCGUACUUGGGCGAGAGUAGUACUAGGAUGGGUGACCCCCUGGGAAGUCCUCGUGUUGCAACCCC
rnacentral:rRNA from 1 species